ensembl:lncRNA
GGUGUGUCCUAGCUCGGGAUUGUCAUUAGCCAAAGGCCAGAAGUUACCUUCCGCUGGUGGUCGUCACUACCACUCUGUUCCCUGCAACACACUUCGAACAAAUUGCCGUGCUGGCCCACGUGUCGGGCAUCGCUGAACGUCCGUCUGAUUCCGGUUUGUCUGGAUCCAUAUUAAGACGACAGGCAUUGGCACAAUUUCCCAGCAGGCGAUGUGACAUGUUCUGGCGACAGUCGCGGAUUUAUUUUCCCUCUAAUGAAACACAAUGGUGGAAAUGCAGAUGACCAGGAGGCCAGGAGGGGAGUAGCCCAGGGAUACAUACUGAGAGGAAGCAAGACUGCGGAGGAGAGAUUCCACUUCACGAAGGACUUGAUGUGGUCCAACAACACCAGCACCCAUGUUGACACAAUUGCUCCUUCCGUUAGCAUUGGGCAAUGGUACUGGAGCAAAGGGUCCGAUAGCAACAGGCUCAGAGACAUUUUCUACAGACACAGACACACAAACCCACACAGGAAUAUUUUAAAGGAAUAUUUUACUGAUCCAUUUACACGUUUUCUAUUAUUUCUAAUUGUUGUAUAGCCCAAAGAAACUUGCGAAUCAAAGUUUUGUUGGAUGGUAUAUAAUGUUUGCAUCCUUUAGAUGCAACUUAUUAUUGUCCAUUACCGGUUGCACAAAUUGUAACAAUGUAAAUGUGAGCAGUUGUUAAAAUCCAUGGAAGUGUUUUCUUGUGUUCAUUAAAUACUCAAUAAAC